rnacentral:rRNA from 1 species
AACGAACGCUGGCGGCAUGCCUAACACAUGCAAGUCGAACGAGACCUUCGGGUCUAGUGGCGCACGGGUGCGUAACGCGUGGGAACCUGCCUUUAGGUUCGGAAUAACUCAGAGAAAUUUGAGCUAAUACCGGAUGAUGUCUUCGGACCAAAGAUUUAUCGCCUUUAGAUGGGCCCGCGUUGGAUUAGCUAGUUGGUGGGGUAAAGGCCUACCAAGGCGACGAUCCAUAGCUGGUCUGAGAGGAUGAUCAGCCACACUGGGACUGAGACACGGCCCAGACUCCUACGGGAGGCAGCAGUGGGGAAUAUUGGACAAUGGGCGAAAGCCUGAUCCAUCAAUGCCGCGUGAGUGAUGAAGGCCUUAGGGUUGUAAAGCUCUUUUACCCGAGAUGAUAAUGACAGUAUCGGGAGAAUAAGCUCCGGCUAACUCCGUG